rnacentral:rRNA from 1 species
GAUGAACGCUGGCGGCGUGCCUAAUACAUGCAAGUAGAACGCUGAAGGAAGGAGCUUGCUCUUUCCGGAUGAGUUGCGAACGGGUGAGUAACGCGUAGGUAACCUGCCUGGUAGCGGGGGAUAACUAUUGGAAACGAUAGCUAAUACCGCAUAACAGUAGAUGUUGCAUGAUAUCUACUUAAAAGGUGCAAUUGCACCACUACCAGAUGGACCUGCGUUGUAUUAGCUAGUUGGUGAGGUAACGGCUCACCAAGGCGACGAUACAUAGCCGACCUGAGAGGGUGAUCGGCCACACUGGGACUGAGACACGGCCCAGACUCCUACGGGAGGCAGCAGUAGGGAAUCUUCGGCAAUGGACGGAAGUCUGACCGAGUAACGCCGCGUGAGUGAAGAAGGUUUUCGGAUCGUAAAGCUCUGUUGUAAGAGAAGAACGAGUGUGAGAGUGGAAAGUUCACACUGUGACGGUAUCUUACCAGAAAGGGACGGCUAACUACGU